UCUGCUGCUGACGCCAUGGACCGCGACAUUGAUGCUGAGGGACAUCAAGAUGCGCAAGCUUUUUCAGUUGGGGCCUUUUCAUCGAAGGAGCCUGCUGCUUCAGUUACGAGUUCCUGAAGCCCUUCCAGCGUUCCUUCUUGACGGGAAGUAUUCGAGCCAUCCAGGGAAUCGGAGCAUCGUUGGUCUUUCCCGGCUACUUCUUCAUUGUGUGCGUCCAGUUUUCACGAG